rnacentral:rRNA from 1 species
ACGGAAGGCAGCAGUGGGGAAUAUUGGACAAUGGGGGAAACCCUGAUCCAGCGACGCCGCGUGAGUGAAGAAGUAUUUCGGUAUGUAAAGCUCUAUCAGCAGGGAAGAUAAUGACGGUACCUGACUAAGAAGCCCCGGCUAACUACGUGCCAGCAGCCGCGGUAAUACGUAGGGGGCAAGCGUUAUCCGGAUUUACUGGGUGUAAAGGGAGCGUAGACGGCAUGGCAAGUCUGAUGUGAAAACCCGGGGCUCAACCCCGGGACUGCAUUGGAAACUGUCAGGCUAGAGUGCAGGAGGGGUAAGCGGAAUUCCUAGUGUAGCGGUGAAAUGCGUAGAUAUUAGGAAGAACACCAGUGGCGAAGGCGGUUAGCUGGACAAUAACUGACGCUGAGGCGCGAAAGCGUGGGUAGCAAACAGGAUUAGAUACCCUGGUA